rnacentral:rRNA from 1 species
CCUACGGGAGGCAGCAGUGAGGAAUAUUGGUCAAUGGACGAGAGUCUGAACCAGCCAAGUAGCGUGAAGGAUGACUGCCCUAUGGGUUGUAAACUUCUUUUAUAAAGGAAUAAAACGAGGCACGUGUGCCUUUUUGCAUUUACUUUAUGAAUAAGGAUCGGCUAACUCCGUGCCAGCAGCCGCGGUAAUACGGAGGAUCCGAGCGUUAUCCGGAUUUAUUGGGUUUAAAGGGAGCGUAGAUGGGUUGUUAAGUCAGUUGUGAAAGGUUGCGGCUCAACCGUAAAAUUGCAAUUGAUACUGGCAGUCUUGAGUACAGUUGAGGUAGGCGGAAUUCGUGGUGUAGCGGUGAAAUGCUUAGAUAUCACGAAGAACCCCGAUUGCGAAGGCAGCUUACUAAACUGUGACUGACAUUGAUGCUCGAAAGUGUGGGUAUCAAACAGGAUUAGAUACCCCUGUAGUC